AGCUAGGCUUGGGUCAGCUAGGCUUGGGUCAGGUAGGCUUGGGUCAGCUAGGCUUGGGUCAGCUAGGCUUGGGUCAGGUAGGCUUGGGUUAGGUAGGCUUGGGUUAGCUCAGCUUGGGUCAGGUAGGCUUGGGUCAGGUAGGUUUGGGUUAGCUCAGCUUGGGUCAGGUAGGCUUGGGUCAGGUAGGCUUGGGUUAGCUCAGCUUGGGUCAGGUAGGCUUGGGGCAGCUAGGCUUGGGUUAGCUCAGCUUGGGUCAGGUAGGCUUGGGUCAGCUAGGCUUGGGUUAGCUCAGCUUGGGUCAGGUAGACUUGGGUCAGCUAGGCUUGGGUUAGCUCAGCUUGGGUCAGGUAGGCUUGGGUCAGCUAGGCUUGGGUUAGCUCAGCUUGGG
ensembl:lncRNA